rnacentral:rRNA from 1 species
AUGACAGUUAUACUAGGAGGCGACUUCAGACAAAUCCUGCCAGUUAUAACGAAAGGAAGGAGAGAGCAGAUAGUUAAUGCUUCAAUCAAAAGGUCAUAUCUGUGGAAACACUUUGAAAUAUUUGAGUUAACACAAAACACGCGGCUGAAGUAUUUGUCAGAUGAUCCAAUACAAAAGCAAGAAGUCGCUGAAUUUGCAGAGUGGAUACUACAGUUUGGCGAUGGGAAAACAACAUCAGAUGAAGGAGAGGAUUGGAUAAAAAUACCAAAGGACCUACUGCUAGAGAAAGGAUAA